GUGCCAGCAGCCGCGGUAAGACGAACCGUGCGAACGUUGUUCGGAAUCACUGGGCUUAAAGGGCGCGUAGGCGGCUGACCCAGUCGGGGGUGAAAUCUUUCGGCUUAACCGGAAAAGUGCCUUCGAUACUGGUCAGCUCGAGCGAGGUAGGGGCAGGGGGAACUUCCGGUGGAGCGGUGAAAUGCGUUGAUAUCGGAAGGAACGCCGGUGGCGAAAGCGCCCUGCUGGACCUCAUCUGACGCUGAGGCGCGAAAGCCAGGGGAGCAAACGGGAUUAGAUACCCCAGUAGUCC
rnacentral:rRNA from 1 species